rnacentral:rRNA from 1 species
UUGAUUACGUCCCUGCCCUUUGUACACACCGCCCGUCGCUGCCCGGGACUGAGCCAUUUCGAGAAAUUUGGGGAUUGCCGAUUAGCGGUCUUUCGGGAUUGCUUUUUGGUGAGAACCAAUUUAAUCGCAGUGGCUUGAACCGGGCAAAAGUCGUAACAAGGUGGCUGUAGGUGAACCUGCUGCCGGAUCAUUACCGAUCAACCUGAAAACUAGGGGGAGGACCUGGCUGGACCUCCUCUGUAGAAUGACGACUUCUUCAUUCCUACAGCCAAUAGCUCAAGAGGGUGCCGUGAUAUUGGCAUGCUGCUUACAGGUGACGUCCCCACCGACUAGCAGGCUUAUUCUUGGGCGAAAAACGGCUUAGUUGGCUUCUAAGUUUCUCUGAGCAGUUGUAUGCCUACGUCCGUGGCUGCGUUGAAGAGAAACGGUACGUGGUCUUCGUGAUCGCGAGAAUUAAUGAGCGCCAGAUGUGGUGCCGCCAACAAAACAACCAUUUUUGAACUUUUUGAGAAAUAACAUUUCUAGUCUUACCGGUGGAUCACUCGGUUCAUAGAUCGAUGAAGAACGCAGCCAACUGCGAUAUAUGGUGUGAACUGCAGAUAUUUUGAACACCAAGAAUUCGAAUGCACAUUGCGCCACUGGAUAUUUAUCCUUUGGCACAUCUGGCUCAGGGUCGUAAACACUAAACGAAAGCUAUUCGUUGUUUAUGACAGACUCAUGGCUACACUAGUUAGGGGGAUAUUCCGCUAGAGUCAUGUUUCUGUGAAGUGGUUUUGCCUACCGGUUGCCUACGGCCGUCUCAUCAUCAUGUCUUGGCUAGUGUAGACGUAUCUGAUGGCUGUACCACAUCGAUUACAUGUAGGCAUGGAUCUUCCGACCUGAGCUCAGGUGUGAUCACCUGCUGAACUUAAGCAUAUCAGUAAGCAGAGGAAAAGAAACCAACAGGGAUUCCCUUAGUAACGGCGAGUGAAAA